rnacentral:tRNA from 1 species
GUAAUUUAGUUUAAUCAUAAAACAAUAGUUUGUGGAACUAUAAUCUCUUAUAUCAAUUUUACA